rnacentral:lncRNA from 13 species
UAAAAGGAUACUAUGGCCCCACCUACUUUGUGAAGCACUGUCUCACCAAAGAGCGUAGAUCUUAGCAAAGAUGGUGACUGACAACAAAUGAGGAUAUCUUACCUAAAACAAAAACACAUAAGAUACUGUACCAUGACACCAGGCAGAGAAGAUGAUACUAAGAAAGUUGUUACCGAGAAUCAAAAGGGGAAGACAACGAAUGUAAUGACAGGCAAGAAUGCCACUGAUAUAAGAUAAGCAUGUCCGCUGUGUUGAUUCAAAUCUUGGAAAAAUAAUUAGUGGAAUAUUUACUGACUUUUGGGUCAAAGGACUGAGCAGUGCUAUUUAUAGAUGAGGUUGUACAUUAUGCAUUCAUAUGCAGUGGACAUCAGGCACGAGUCAGCCAUAGCAAUCCCAGGAGGUUGGUGGCACCUUAAUUGGGGAGGACAGGCUCGUGGUAAUGGCUGGAGCAGAAUAGUAUCAAAUACGUGGUUUCCAUGUGUUUGAUGACAUUCCAUUCUAGCCAUUAUUAUGAGCUGUCCUCCACAGAUAGCAAUGGUGUCUUGAUUGUUCAUAUUGUCUUUUUUUUAACACAAUUACUUAUUUAACUGAUGCCUUUUGUUAACAGAGGGAACUUUGAAAAGAAGCAAGCAAUCCAAAAGCACGGAAUUGGAUCCUCCAAGCAUGAACUUGGUGCUGUGUGGGAAAAGAGGAGCUUGGAAGACUUCUACACAGCCAACUGGGUCAGACAAAGUCGAGCCCAGAGUGAACCUCCUGCUCAGUGUGUAUGAAGAGACAGGGUAAGGUAGAUAGUCACUCUGGUGGAGCUGCCUGCUCUGUAUGGAGUGCCUCAACUCACUGAUGAAGACGAAAGAAAGAAAGAGACUAUCUAGAAUAUACUGAGUUCAAAGGUCAAUGACUUUAUGGUUGUGUUGAAGCACAAAACCAAACAGAGAGCCAAGAGAAAAUAUGUUGAAGAGAGCAGUCAGGAGACAAUCCAAAAAUCCCAAAACAUCUAUCACUUUACUGUAACACAGAGAUGGAGAAUGUGAGGAUGACCAUCAGAUCUCUGGAGGAGAUGCUCAAAACAACAGGUAAAUAGAUGUCAAGAAAUACAUACAUUUUAAACUAUUAUAUAUUUUCGUAAGUAUUUUAAAUGUCUAUAUGGAAUGGCAAGCACAAAGUACGGGGCUUCAAGCACUGAUACAUUUUGAUCACACAAACAAUAGACCCCUUUGUGUGUUUGCAAACAUUGCCGCAUGAGGGCGUUGCGUGCAAGUUGGUGUCAAAAGAAGGGGAAGUUCUUAUAGAACGCCAGAAAAAAACGGCUCUAUUUACAUGUUGCUUAUGAGUGCAUUUCACACUACUUUUGGAUUAUAAUUGGAUUUUAAGGCUCGUAUGAAUGUCCUGCUUAAUCUAUUGUGUGCGUCCUCAUCGCAAAUCAACUGCAUUAUACUUGAAAAACACGUGUAUUUUUGGCUAGCGUUUGCUACGAAAUGUAUUUUGUUCAGGAGCAAUUCAUUUUUUAAAUGUUGAAUGGGCACAGAUAGCGAUGGAUUUCUUACUGCAGUCAAAAGUCGCGCGCAUCUGGGGUCUAUGAAGGAAGGCUAUUAAUAGAUGGCCAUACAUUGGUUGAUAAUAUUGAUCAGCAUCAUUAUCAACUUAGUUUGUCAAAAAGUACAUUGCUGUGUAUAUACUGUAUAAGAGGCAAACGUUUCAUUGACCAUAUUGUAUCAUUAUGAUGUGGUUAAAAUGGACUGUAAGACUUGUCAUAAGCUUGCAUGGCUCAUCUUAUUAUAAUUCAGUUGACAACUUGCUCCAUAAAGAGACAUAACAUUACCAAUAUUUCUGCCACAGCGAUCUCAUAAUCUUCAGCUAGUAUGAACUGCAUGUCUAGUAAACAUUGUAUCUUA